rnacentral:rRNA from 1 species
AGUGAACGCUGGCGGCAGGCCUAAUACAUGCAAGUCGAACGGCAGUACAGCAGAGCUUGCUCUGUGGGUGGCGAGUGGCGGACGGGUGAGGAAUACAUGGGAAUCUGCCCAGUCGUGGGGAUAACGUAGGGAAACUUACGCUAAUACCGCAUGCGCCCUUCGGGGAAAGCCGGGGACCUUCGGGCCUGGCGCGAUUGGAUGAGCCCAUGUCGGAUUAGCUAGUUGGCGGGGUAAUGGCCCACCAAGGCGACGAUCCGUAGCUGGUCUGAGAGGAUGAUCAGCCACACUGGAACUGAGACACGGUCCAGACUCCUACGGGAGCAGCAGUAGGGAAUAUUGGACAAUGGGCGCAAAGCCUGAUCCAGCCAUGCCGCGUGAGUGAAGAAGGCCCUCGGGUUGUAAAGCUCUUUUGUCCGGAAAGAAAAGCGCCGGGUUAAUACCCUAGUGUCCUGACGGUACCGGAAGAAUAAGCACCGGCUAACUUCGUGCCAGCAGCCGCG